rnacentral:rRNA from 1 species
AUGGCUGUCGUCAGCUCGUGCCGUGAGGUGUUGGGUUAAGUCCCGCAACGAGCGCAACCCUUGUGGUUAGUUACCAGCACGUAAUGGUGGGGACUCUAGCCAGACUGCCUACGCAAGUAGUGAGGAAGGUGGGGAUGACGUCAAGUCAUCAUGCCCCUUAUGUCUUGGGCUGCACACGUGCUACAAUGGCCGGUACAGUGGGUUGCGAUACCGUGAGGUGGAGCGAAUCUCCAAAAGCCGGUCUCAGUUCGGAUCGGGGUCUGCAACUCGACCCCGUGAAGUCGGAGUCGCUAGUAAUCGCAGAUCAGCAGUGCUGCGGUGAAUACGUUCCCGGGCCUUGUACACACCGCCCGU